CCUACGGGUGGCAGCAGUGAGGAAUAUUGGUCAAUGGACGAGAGUCUGAACCAGCCAAGUAGCGUGAAGGAUGACUGCCCUAUGGGUUGUAAACUUCUUUUAUAUGGGAAUAAAAUGUUCCACGUGUGCCUUUUUGUAUGUACCUUAUGCAUAAGGAUCGGAUAACUCCGUGCCAGCAGCCGCGGUAAUACGGAGGGUCCGAGCGUUAUCCGGAUUUAUUGGGUGUAAAGGGAGCGUAGAUGGAUUGUUAAGUCAGUUGUGAAAGUUUGCGGCUCAACCGUAAAAUUGCAGUUGAAACUGGCAGUCUUGAGUACAGUAGAGGUGGGUGGAAUUCGUGGUGUAGCGGUGAAAUGCGUAGAUAUCACGAAGAACCCCGAUUGCGAAGGCAGCUCACUGGACUGCAACUGACACUGAUGCUCGAAAGUGUGGGUAUCAAACAGGAUUAGAUACCCCAGUAGUC
rnacentral:rRNA from 1 species